GGUCUAUUAGUCUAGUUGGUUAGGACGUCGGAUUCUGAUUUACACCCAGUUCUUCCGUAAGCCCAGGUUCGAAUCCUGGAUGGACCU
rnacentral:tRNA from 1 species